rnacentral:rRNA from 1 species
UACGUAGGGUGCAAGCGUUAAUCGGAAUUACUGGGCGUAAAGCGUGCGCAGGCGGUGAUGUAAGACAGAUGUGAAAUCCCCGGGCUCAACCUGGGAACUGCAUUUGUGACUGCAUCGCUGGAGUGCGGCAGGAGGGGGAUGGAAUUCCGCGUGUAGCAGGUGAAAUGCGUAGAUAUGCGGAGGAACACCGAUGGCGAAGGCAAUCCCCUGGCCGCACUGACGCUCGUGCACGAAGCGUGGGGAGCAA